UACGUAGGGGGGCAAGCGUUAUCCGGAUUUACUGGGUGUAAAGGGAGCGUAGACGGCGCGGCAAGUCUGAAGUGAAAGGCAGGGGCUUAACCCCUGAACUGCUUUGGAAACUGCCAUGCUAGAGUGCUGGAGAGGUAAGUGGAAUUCCUAGUGUAGCGGUGAAAUGCGUAGAUAUUAGGAGGAACACCAGUGGCGAAGGCGGCUUACUGGACAGUAACUGACGUUGAGGCUCGAAAGCAUGGGUAGCGAACAGG
rnacentral:rRNA from 1 species